rnacentral:sRNA from 1 species
AAAAAAGUUCACUUCAAGAUGGUCUGAAGAGAUAGAUUCCCCUCUAGAAGAGAAAGAAGCCUAUUUUGAAGAAAGAGGAAUUGAGUGUUCUGCUGCAGACCUCUCCAGGGAGGACGCUGAUUAUGAUGAUGAUAUUAGAGAGGACUAUGCAGACCCUCUCUAUCAUUCAUUUUCUUCUUGAUAAGUGUGAGGAGUCAAGCUAGAGACUUUAAACAAGCUCACUUGGGAGAAAGUCCCAUGUGUAUCCUUGUAAAUAAUUUUUACUUUCUUGUUAUUUUUGAUUUGUUUUAGUUGUGUUUGUGGUUCUAAGGAAGAAAGGAAUAACGUGAAGGUAGAGUAAAAAUUCAAAACUUUUACUCUACUGAUGGCCUAGAGAUCGAGUACAUUGGUCGAGUAUGAGUGAUGUUUAAAAACCCAAAAAAAAAUUUAAAUCAUCAUUUUACUCGACCAACAGAAGCUACAGAAUCUUACAAAGAGUUUAUCAAGUUUACAGAAGAUUGCAGGAUUUCCUGGGGAUUUUACAGUGAACAGAGAGCAUAGAAGAAAGACAAGAAGACACAGUGUGACCCACCACUGACGCCCAUGUCCUCCAUGCAGCAGACCAAGAGACAUGGAAUCUCUUCAUACCCCAUCCCUUCACUCGAUCUCCACGCAACCCCAUCUUCACCUUACCCACUCGACUUCUUCUCCUUCACUCGACCUCGUUUUCUCCUCCAUAACCCAAUAAACUCGACCCCAUCCCUCUUCAUUCAUCACCACCAACAAACCAAACUCUCAUCUCUCUUAUCUCAACCACUCGACCCCAUCCCUCUUGAAUCAACGCUCCCUUACCUCCUUUACUCGACCUCGGCAUCUCCUCUUCACCAUCCUCUUCAUAUACUCGACCUCAACACUCCUCUCCACACACCAAACUUUUCGCAACUCUCUCAUCUCUCAUCACCGUUCACUGCAAUUCAAGUCUUCAAGUGUUUGUUUCCAUCACUCGACUUCAUCAUUCUCCAACUUCAACAACUUCACUCGACUCCUCAUCAUCAUCUUCUUCAUGGCCUCACCACUCGACCACUCUUCGCCACCACCACCUCUCAAUCGUCUCAAUUUCACUCGGCCACAACUCUCUUCGCCUCUCCAUCAUGACCGCUUGCUCCCUCUCUCCAAGGAAACAACUCGACCUCGCCAUUUCAUUCACUCGACCUCUAUCACCAAGCCGCCUUCACUACUUCUAGCUCAUAACCACUCGACCAAAGUGCCAUUGUUCUCUCAUCUCUCAAGUCCACUCAUCACACGACUUCGCCAAGUUCACUCGAUUCACCGCCAAAGCGACACCACUCGACCGCUCCUCUAUUUCCACGGUCAAACCGCAGCUGCUCUCCUCCUCUUCAAGCUCACCACUCGACCACCGCCUCACUCUAACCACGAAACUAGCUUCACUCGACCAUACAAAAUCACUUGAUCAACCGAAAGAAAAGAAAAA